rnacentral:rRNA from 1 species
UACAGAGGCCUCGAGCGUUAGGCGGAAUCACUGGGCUUAAAGCGUGUGUAGGCGGACUUCUAAGUACCUUGUGAAAUCCCACGGCUCACCCGUGGAACUGCUCGGUAUACUGGUUGUCUUGAGCCUUCUAGGGGCGAGUGGAACAAAUGGUGGAGCGGUGAAAUGCGUAGAUAUCAGGAGGAACACCAAUGGCGAAGGCAGCACUCUGGGACGUGACUGACGCUGAGACGCGAAAGCGUGGGGAGCAAACAGG